GGCCACUGCUAUUGGGAUCCGACUAAGCCAUGCGAGUCGAGAGGGUUCGGCCCUCGGCAGACUGCUCAGUAACACGUGGAUAAUCUACCCUUAGGUGGAGGAUACUCUCGGGAAACUGAGAAUAAUACUCCAUAGAUCCAGGAUGUUGGAAUGCACCUAGAUUGAAAGUUCCGGCGCCUAAGGAUGAGUCUGCGGACUAUCAGGUUGUAGUCAGGGUAAUGACCUGACUAGCCUACGACGGAUACGGGUUGUGAGAGCAAUAACCCGGAGAUGAUAUCUGAGACACGAUAUCAGGCCCUACGGGGCGCAGCAGGCGCGAAAACUUCACAAUGUGUGAAAGCACGAUGAGGGAAUCCCAAGUGCUUGCAUGUAAGUGUAAGCUGUUUUUAUGUUUAAAACGCAUAGAGAGUAAGAGCUGGGUAAGACGGGUGCCAGCCGCCGCGGUAAUACCUGCAGCUCGAGUGGUGGCCACUAUUAUUGGGCCUAAAACGUCCGUAGCCGGUUUAAUAAAUGCCUGGGUAAAUCGUGUAGCUUAACUAUACGAAUUCCGGGUAGACUGCUAAACUUGAGACCGGGAGAAGCUAGAGGUACUCCUGGGGUAGAGGUGAAAUUCUGUAAUCCUAGGGGGACCACCAGUGGCGAAGGCGUCUGGCUAGAACGGGUCUGACGGUGAGGGACGAAGCCCUGGGGCGCAAACCGGAUUAGAUACCCGGGUAGUCCAGGGUGUAAACGCUGCUUGCUUGAUGUUAGUUGGGCUCCGAGCCCAAUUAGUGUCGGAGAGAAGUUGUUAAGCAAGCUGCCUGGGAAGUACGGCCGCAAGACUGAAACUUAAAGGAAUUGGCGGGGGAGCACAGCAACGGGUGGAGCGUGCGGUUU
rnacentral:rRNA from 1 species